CACGUAGGGACCAAGCGUUGUCCGGAUUCAUUGGGCGUAAAGAGCUCGUAGGCGGUUCGAUAAGUCGGGUGUGAAACCUCCAGGCUCAACCUGGAGACGCCACCCGAUACUGUCGUGACUAGAGUCCAGUAGGGGAGCGUGGAAUUCCUGGUGUAGCGGUGAAAUGCGCAGAUAUCAGGAAGAACACCGAUGGCGAAAGCAGCUCUCUGGGACGGUACUGACGCUGAGGCGCGAAAGCGUGGGGAGCGAACAGG
rnacentral:rRNA from 1 species